UUAUACAUUUUUAGGGUUUUUUCUGUCCGUAAAAUUGGUAAGAGCCUUCUUCCUCUGUUUCUGUUGUGGAGACUCUACAAUGCUCUUUCGUUUCAUCUCCAAAUCUUCACAUCUUCGACCGUUCACCCUACUUUCCCCCAAAACCCAAUUCUUAAACCCUAAACCCAGUUCUCCUAUACCUUCCUUACCAACUACCUACCCAUAUUUCUUUCCCAAGAACUCCCUUUUCAUCUCCACUUUCUCCUUGGACUCAGAAAGUAAUGAAGGAACAGAAAAGAAGGUACUUGAUGAUGGGUCUCGAGGUAGAGAAGAAGAGGCCACUAGUAAAGAAGGGUAUAAAGCUUGUAGUUUUGAUGUGAAGGGUCAAGAAGAAGAAAAAAAAGUGUUUGAUGUUGGAGAUGAGGUUGAGGUAGGAACUCAAAUGAAGGGUUUUGAAUUGGAAGAGAAAGCUAUUGGUGACCUUCUUAAAGGUUCUUGUACUGAUGAUUUAACAAUCAAAAAGAGUAGAAAUCCCUCAGUAAGUGUGUAUUCAGAAGAAGUUUCGAAAAUAAAAGAGAUUAUCAAGGGGCGUGGGAAGGAUUUGAAGCAUGAGUUAAUUUUGGUGGCUUCAAAACUAUCAUUCAAGUGUGUCAUUGAGAUUUUUGACCUUAUGAAUGAACAAAGAAUAUCUGGAUUGAAGUUCUUUAAUUGGCUUCAGGACUCGCAUCCUGAAUUUCACCGCAGUGCUUAUGUCAAUAGUCUGAUUAUUUGUAAUUGUGGAUGGUUAGAUGACUAUAAAACUAUGUUCUCUUUGUUGGAGGACUUUAACGCUGAACAAACUUGUUUAACUGACAAGGCUUUUGGGUUCCUAACUGUACUUGGAUCAAGUAAGGAUUCACUGGUGAAUUCGACAAAGAAAGUGGUUGCUAUGCUAAAUGAGGUUGGAGGAUCCUGCCGUGGUUCUGGUAUUUACGGAUUAAUCGAGAUGUUUUGUUGUUUGGACUUGUUCGAAAUGGCAACAUUUGUAAUAGAGAUCACUGAAAGAACAACUUCUCACUACAAUAUUUUGAUCCGUAAAAGGUGUCGGGCAGGCCAAAUAGAAAAAGCAUGGGUUAUUAUCAAAGAGAUGUCUGAAUUUGGUUGUUCUCCUAACACCAAGUCAUAUAACUAUCUGCUUGGCUCAUUGUGCAAGAAUGAUAAGCUGGAGUAUGUGCGUAUUGUGCUUGAAGAAAUGAGAAAUAAAGGUGUUGAUCCAGAUGCAAUUACUUUUGAAACUUUAGUGUAUCAUUCAUCUAGUCGCGGUCAAGUUGACCUUGCCUCUGAAUUUUUGAAUUUGAUGGUAAAUGUAAAUGUGGAACCACGUUCUACUACUCAUGCUGCAUUUCUUAAAGUUUUACUUGAAGCAGGAGAACGUGAGAAAGCAUAUAAGUAUGUGAUUGACAUGAGUGCCAAGUAUAACCACUGUGGAAAUACACUAUACAGCUUGCUUGUGAGGCUUAAUCAGAAGAAAGGAGACAUUAUGGCUGCUCAAAGCCUUCUCAAUGAAAUGAUUGACAAGGGUCUCAAGCCGGACUUUGGAAUUUUUAUCAAAAUUGUAAAGCAGCUCGAGAAGACUAGCAGGAAAACUUUAGCUCGAGAUCUUAGGACGAAAUACUCAGUUUUCUAUUGUAGUACAAAAGCUAUCAAUUCUUUAUCCAAUUCUUUUGUCCCAUGCCAAGGUUGAGUGGAUCUCUCUAGAUGGGCUGUCUGUGGAAGAAAGAUUAGGAGUGUGCAUUAUUUGCUUUUAACCAAAAAGGUGACUGAAGAUUAUUUUCAGUUUUCCAGUUUCACGUUGUCUCUUGUUUUUACCACUGGGUUGAGCAAAUCUUGGGGGAAUAUUUACAUACUGCAGCUGUGGUUGCUGGGACAGGAAGCCAUGGUUAAUUGAAUAAAUAGAGGUUACACCUCCUUUGAAAGUGGAGUUUCACCUGAAGAUUAUGUUCGGCUCCUUCUGUCGCACUAUUAUUUACUUCUGGAAAGCAAAGGUACAGAACAGUCCUUUUGCAGGCUAUGUCUCUAAUUGUUGUUAAGGAUAUGUACUUUAACUCCUUAUUCUUUUACAUAGCAGUAUAGAGACUGCUUUUCUAAACCGUUAAGCGGCUGAAUAAUCAAAUAAUAAUGGGCAACUUUGAUUCUC